rnacentral:rRNA from 1 species
AGUGGCGGACGGGUGAGUAACGCGUGGGUAACCUGCCUCAUACAGGGGAUAACAGUUAGAAAUGACUGCUAAUACCGCAUAAGACCACAGCACCGCAUGGUGCAGGGGUAAAAACUCCGGUGGUAUGAGAUGGACCCGCGUCUGAUUAGGUAGUUGGUGGGGUAACGGCCUACCAAGCCGACGAUCAGUAGCCGACCUGAGAGGGUGACCCGGCCACAUUGGGACUGAGACACGGCCCAA